GUGGGCGUGUCGGAGUGGUUAUCGAGCAUGACUAGAAAUAAUGUGGGCUUUGCCUGUGCAGGUUCAAAUCCUGCCGCUCACG
rnacentral:tRNA from 1 species